rfam:Ciona savignyi cont_41538, whole genome shotgun sequence.
CAUUAAAUCAGUUAUGGUUCAUUUGAUGGUACAGUUUACUUGGAUAACUGUGGUAAUUCUAGAGCUAAUACAUGCGAGAAGCGCCGACCUCGCGGGAGGCGUGCAUUUAUCAGACCAAAAACCGGCCGCGUCUUCGGGCGCGUUCGCCUUGGUGACUCUGGAUAACUUUGCGGAUCGCACGGUCUAGCACCGGCGACGGAUCAUUCAAGUGUCUGCCCUAUCAACUUUCGUCGGUACGGUAUUUGCCUACCGAGGUUCUUACGGGUGACGGGGAAUCAGGGUUCGAUUCCGGAGAGGGAGCCUGAGAAACGGCUACCACAUCCAAGGAAGGCAGCAGGCGCGCAAAUUACCCAUUCCCGACGCGGGGAGGUAGUGACGAAAAAUAACAAUGCAGGACUCGUUCGAGGCCCUGUAAUUGGAAUGAGUACACUUUAAAAGCUUUAACGAGUAUCCAUUGGAGGGCAAGUCUGGUGCCAGCAGCCGCGGUAAUUCCAGCUCCAAAAGUAUAUAUUUAAGUUGUUGCGGUUAAAAAGCUCGUAGUUGGAUUUUGGGCGCAGGCGGCCGGUCCGUCGCAAGGCGUGUACUGGACGUCCUGGCCUUCCCUCCGGUUCUCCGCCGGUGCUCUUGACUGAGUGUCGGCGGCGGCCGGAACGUUUACUUUGAAAAAAUUAGAGUGUUCAAAGCAGGCUCUCGAGCCUGGAUAAUGGUGCAUGGAAUAAUGGAAUAGGACCUCGGUUCUAUUUUGUUGGUUUUCGGAGCGCGAGGUAAUGAUUAAGAGGGACAGGUGGGGGCAUUCGUACUGUGCCGUUAGAGGUGAAAUUCUUGGGGGGCAUUCGUACUGUGCCGUAAGAGGUGAAAUUCUUGGAUCGGCGCAAGACGAACGACUGCGAAAGCAUUUGCCAAGAAUGUUUUCUUUAAUCAAGAGCGAAAGUCAGAGGUUCGAAGACGAUCAGAUACCGUCCUAGUUCUGACUAUAAACGAUGCCAACUAGCGAUCGGGGGGCGUUACAUUGACGACCCCUCCGGCAGCUUACGGGAAACCAAAGUCUUUGGGUUCCGGGGGAAGUAUGGUUGCAAAGCUGAAACUUAAAGGAAUUGACGGAAGGGCACCACCAGGAGUGGAGCCUGCGGCUUAAUUUGACUCAACACGGGAAAUCUCACCCGGCCCGGACACAGUGAGGACUGACAGAUUGAGAGCUCUUUCUUGAUUCUGUGGGUGGUGGUGCAUGGCCGUUCUUAGUUGGUGGAGCGAUUUGUCUGGUUAAUUCCGAUAACGAACGAGACUCUGGCUUGCUAAAUAGUUACGCGACCAUCCCCGUCGGCGUUUAACUUC